rnacentral:tRNA from 1 species
GCUGCUCUAGCUCAACGGCAGAGCAUCCGCCUUGUAAGCGGACGGUUGAGGGUUCGAAUCCCUCGGGCAGCUCCA